rnacentral:ncRNA from 1 species
GUAAAGAGACCUACUGUAAAGCAGGUUUUUACUAUACAUGAUCCGCCUUACGCUCUCCUCAACCAAAAUUUGAGCGUAGGGCUUUUU